UACGAAGGGAGCUAGCGUUACUCGGAAUCACUGGGCGUAAAGCGUGCGUAGGCGGUUUUGUAAGUCAGAAGUGAAAGCCUGGGGCUCAACCUCAGAAUUGCUUUUGAAACUGCAUAACUAGAGUGUCAUAGGGGAUAGCGGAAUUCCUAGUGUAGAGGUGAAAUUCGUAGAUAUUAGGAGGAACACCGGUGGCGAAGGCGGCUAUCUGGGUGAACACUGACGCUGUUGCACGAAAGCGUGGGGGAGCAAACAGG
rnacentral:rRNA from 1 species